CAAUAGCGUAUAUUAAAGUUGUUGCAGUUAAAAGCUCGUAGUUGGAUUUCUUAGCUGAGCGACCGGUCCGCCGCUGUGCGGUGUGUACUCGGGUGCGACUCGGCUAAUCCUUGCAGGGAACGGCGUUUCGGUCUUAACUGGUCGAGGUCGGGAAUUGCAUCGUUUACUGUGAAAAAUUAGAGUGUUUAAAGCAGGCUUAUGCUGUGAAUACAUUAGCAUGGAAUAAUAAGAUAGGACUUUGGAACUAUUUUGUUGGUUUGCGUUACAAAGUAAUGAUUAAUAGGGACAGUUGGGGGUAUUCGUAUUUCGUUGUCAGAGGUGAAAUUCUUGGAUUUCCGAAAGACGAACUACUGCGAAAGCAUUUACCAAGGAUGUUUUCAUUAAUCAAGAACGAAAGUUAGGGGAUCGAAGACGAUCAGAUACCA
rnacentral:rRNA from 1 species